UCCUACGGGAGGCAGCCAGUGGGGAAUAUUGGACAAUGGACCAAAAGUCUGAUCCAGCAAUUCCGUGUGCUUGAUGAAGGCCUUCGGGUUGUAAAGAGCUUUAAGUAGGGAAGAAGAAAGUGACGGUACUUACAGAAUAAGCGACGGCUAAAUACGUGCCAGCAGCCGCGGUAAUACGUAUGUCGCAAGCGUUAUCCGGAAUUAUUGGGCAUAAAGGGCGUCUAGGCGGUUUAGAAAGUCUGAUGUGAAAAUGCGGGGCUCAACCCCGUAUUGCGUUGGAAACUACUAGACUAGAGUAUCGGAGAGGUAAGCGGAACUACAAGUGUAGAGGUGAAAUUCGUAGAUAUUUGUAGGAAUGCCAAUUGGGAAGCCAGCUUACUGGACGAAUACUGACGCUGAAGCGCGAAAGCUAGGGGAGCAAACAGGAUUAGAUACCCUGGUAGUCCUAGCUGUAAACGAUGAUCACUGGGUGUGGGGGGUCGAACCUCUGUGCCGAAGUUAAUGCGAUAAGUGAUCCGCCUGGGGAGUACGGCCGCAAGGCUGAAACUCAAAGGAAUUGACGGGGA
rnacentral:rRNA from 1 species